AUUUGUUAUCAUCACCAUCAUCUGUCUACCUAUCCAUCCAUCUAUCCACCUAUCUACCCAUCCAUCCACCCAUCCAUGUAUCUAUCUACCUACCUAUCCACCCAUCCACUCACAUAUCAUCCAUCUGAUCACCAUCAUCUACCUAUCCAUUCAUCUAUCCACCUAUCCACCCAUCUAUCUAUCCAUCUAUGUGUCUAUUUACCUACCCAUCCAUACACCCACCUAUCAAUCUAUCAUCUAUCUAUCUCUCUCUCUCUGUAUGUAUGUAUGUAUCUAUCUAUCUAUCUAUCUAUCUAUCUAUCUAUCUAUCUAUCUAUCUAUGUAGGUAUCUAUCUACAUAUCUAUCUAUGUAUCUAUCUAUCUAUAUCAUCUAUCUAUGUAUCUAUGUAUCUAUCUACCUACCUAUAUAUCUAUCUAUCCAUCCAUGCUUCCAUCCAUCCACCUAUCUAUCCAUCCACCCACCCAUCUAUGUAUGUAUGUAUGUAUGUAUCUAUCUAUCAUCUAUGUAUCUACCUAUCUAUCUAUCCAUCCAUCUACCUAUCUCAUUUAUGUAUCUACCUAUCUAUCUACUCUAUGUAUUUAUCUAUAUAUAUCUUCCUAUCAUCUAUUUAUCUAUCUAGGUAUCUAUCUAUCUAUCCAUCCAUGCAUCUAUCCAUCCAUCUACCUAUCUCAUCUGUCUAUUCAUCUACUGUACGUAUUUAUUUAUCUAGCUGGCUAUCAUCUAGUUAUCUAUCUCCUUAUCUAUCUGCCUAUCUACCCAUUCAUCCAUCCAUUUCUCUUUUUCUUUAUCAUCUAUCUACAUGUAUCUAUCUAUGUGUCUAUCAGCUAUAUCCGUGUCUAUAUAUCUCUGUGUAUCUAUGUGUCUGUCUCUAUGUAUCUAUGUGUGUAUUAUCUAUCUAUACAUCUAUUUAUCUAUGUGUCUAUUUCUAUCAGUGCAUGUAUGUGUCUAUCUGUCUAUCAUCUAUCUACCUACCUAUCUAUGUGUCUAUCUAUCAUUUAUCUAUCUAUCUAUGUGUCUAUCUAUCUAUGUGUCUAUCUAUGUAUGUAUCUAUCUUUGUAUCUAUCUAUGUGUCUAUGUAUGUAUGUAUGUAUCUGUGUCUAUGUAUGUACGUAUCUAUGUAUCUAUGUGUCUGUCUAUGUAUCUAUCUAUCUAUGUGUCUAUCAUCUAUCUAUGUGUCUAUCCAUGUAUCUAUCUACCUACCUACCUAUGUCUAAUCUAUCUAUCUAUCUACCUACCUACCUACCUACCUACCUAUCUCUCUAUGUCUAAUCUAUCUAUGUAUCUAUGUCUAAUCUAUCUAUGUAUCUAUUAUCUAUCUAUCUACCUACCUACCUACCUACCUACCUACCUACCUAUCUCUCUAUGUCUAAUCUAUGUAUUAUCUAUGGCAGUGGUUUGCAACCAGGCACAGUUUUACUCCCCCAAAAGGACACUUGGUGAUGUGUGGAGAUAUUUUUGAUCCUCUUGACUCUGGUGUGGAGGGUGAGCUUCUGGCAUCUACUGGGCAGAGACCAGGGACGCUGCUCAGUGCCCUCCAGUGCACAGACAGCCCCACCACAGAUACUCAUCCAUCCCUAAAGGCCAAUAUUGCCCAGGUGGCAGAUACUUUGAGUAGCCAGUAAUAUCGUCCCAUAAACAUUCUUCAUUUUCACAUAUUCAUGAAACAAAUUUGUGAAAGACCUAGGUGCAUCCUAGCUGGGCCUCUCCCUGGGUCUGGAAUGGAGAGGCACAGAUGGGUAGACGAUAGAUAGACAGAUGGAUGGAUGGAUACAUAGAUAAUAGAAAGAUGGAUAGAUGGAUUGAUAGAUGAUGGAUGGAUGAACAGAUACAUGAUAGGUGGAUGCAUGCAUGGAUGGAUGGGAUAGAUACAUAGAUAGAUAGAUGAUAGAAAGAUGGAUAGAUGUAUUGAUAGAUGAUGGAUGGAUGGAUGAACAGAUACAUAAUAGGUGGAUGCAUGGAUGGACUUGAUAGAUGAUAGAAAGAUGGAUGGAUUGAUUGAUGGAUGGAUGAACAGAUACAUGAUAGGUGGAUGGAUGCAUGGAUGGAUGGAUGGACUAGAUACAUAGAUACGUAGAAAGAUGAUAGAAAGAUGGAUAGAUGCAUUGAUAGAUGAUGGAUGGAUGGAUAAACAGAUACAUAACAGGUGGAUGCAUGGAUGGACUAGAUAGAUGAUAGAAAGAUGGAUGGAUUGAUCAAUAGAUGAUGGAUGGAUGGAUGAA
rnacentral:lncRNA from 13 species